GAUGAAGAACGUAGCGAAAUGCGAUACUUGGUGUGAAUUGCAGAAUCCCGUGAACCAUCGAGUCUUUGAACGCAAGUUGCGCCUCAAGCCAUUAGGUUGAGGGCACGUCUGCCUGGGCGUCACAUAUCGUUGCCUGAUGCCAGUUUCCUCGUGAUGGGUGACUGUGCAGGGCGAAUGAUGGCUUCCCGUGAGCAUUGUUGCCUCAUGGUUGGUUGAAAAUUGAGUCCUUGGUAGGGAGCGCCGUGAUAGAUGGUGGUUGAGUGACGAACGAGACCAAAUCAUGUGAGACCGCUACCGAAUUUGGCCUUCAUGACCCACAUGCGUCUUUGGAACGCUCAUGACGAGACCUCAGGUCAGGCGGGGCUACCCGCUGAGUUUAAGCAUAUCAAUAAGCGGAGGA
rnacentral:misc_RNA from 1 species